rnacentral:tRNA from 1 species
GGAGAGGUGGCCGAGUGGUUGAAGGCAACGGUCUUGAAAACCGUCGUGCGGGAAACCGUACCGAGGGUUCGAAUCCCUCCCUCUCCGCCA